GCCAUCCUCUCCAAAUGGUAGACAUCUCUUUCCUUCGUGAAUCAGUGGUUGCCGGAUUGCUUGUGCCGAUCUCGAUCGUGGAAUACUUUCUUCUCUUUGGAUCGAACUCCAAACGUAGUGGCCUUUGGAAAUUAGGGUAGACUCGGCGUGGUAAUGUGCACAAAUCCCCAUCACGCGGUGAUGGUGAAAUCAUUCGUCGUCUCUUCCCUACCAACUAUCCUGGACCAAUCUGUGAGAGCCAGCUGGUGGAGCUGAUUCAUGUCAUGUCCAGAGUCCAUGACAUCUACAUCUCCAUCUACCUCUUGCCCUCAUAUCUCUCUCUUUUUCUUUUGUUGAGCUGAACGAAUGCCGGCGGUGGAAAGGUGUUUUCUUCUUAGUCCAAUUGGCUGAGGUGGUAGAAAUGUCAGGCCAUUCAUGUCCAACUCCUCCACUAAUCCUCCUCGUUUCAUGCUGGAAAUAUUUCUCGAUGAUAGAUUUCCACGAGAAUAUCCAAAGAACUCCAUGAGAAAGAGAACAGCUGAACACAGAAAUGGUGGAUUAUCACAAUAGUUGAAAGAUCAUACAGCACAACACAGCACAGGGUUUCUGAGCUUUACACACCCUCUCUGCAACCUACAACAAGAAAGCUUAAAGAUAGUACUGUUUCCUUCACGUAACUCAUAUGAAAAGAAGAAAGACAAGCUACAGAGCAGGAGCUUCUUCUUCUUCUUCUUCUUCUUCUUCUUCUUCUUCUUCUUUGAUGCUUCCUUCACCUAUUGUGUAAGGGAUUCGGGCCAGUGGGUACGACCCGCUUGUCAUCAUCAACGGUGCUAUCAUUCUGCUUGGCUCGAACGAGAAGGCCACAGAAUCUAAUCUUCUUCGAUCGGCAGCGAUGGAGGCCACCGGUGGCAACUCUGGCGGCUGCCGUUCUGUUUUCUGAUCUCUUGCCUACUCCCGUUGCAUGGCCGCGGUUCCCAUGGACCUCUCCAGCCAACCCCUGUGAGAAGAUACCAGCGAUUACCAGAAUUAAGCACGUAACCAAGGCGGUCGGAGCCCCCUUCUUCCUCAUCCCUCCUUCCCUAUGCCGAGGCCAUGAUCAGAAGUGGUAGAAACAUGAGGCAGAUCGAGAGAUGCACCAGAGAGAGAGAGAGAGAGAGAGAGAGAGAGAGAGAGAGAGGGGAAGAACAG